AUGUUUCUGUGUGCUGUGCCACGCUUUGGUGAUGUGCCAUGCGACUUACCGCUUUGUUGUUGCUGCUACAGCUCCAGUGGUCACCUUCUGCAUUCCCGCACCACGCCUCUUCCUCUCUCUCUGCAGGCCCGGGCACGGAGCCCAUCGUCUGGCGGUGGAAGAGGCGAGGGCACGGCCAGGGAGGGGAUCCGGCCGGACACCGGACACGGGCUGCAGCACCGCGCCCGGCCACACCCCGCUCUCAACUUUAAUGACUUAAAGCAGUUUUAAAUGGUUGUGACACAAAUUCAUUGCUGGCAGCCAUGGGAGAAGAAUUUCCCUAGGUUUAUUGCGAUGAAUCUGUAAAACCUGUCCUCUAGUGGUGAGUAUUCUCGGUACAACCUAUCUUUCCUCCAAUGCACAGAGUAAUUGCUUAGCUCUGGAUCAGACUGAAGAAUUCCUUACUUAAAAAAAAUCAGCAUCACUCACGAGAGUGGAACACGCCCAUGCUCAGCCUUACUACCUGGAGGUGGGAUUCAGCAGCAGUCGUGUUGAGUGGGCAGACUGCAAGAACAAACAAACAUUUGCUUUGCAGGAGAGAGAGAAGUCUUAACGCCACUUCCAAAAGUUGGCCAUCCUUCCCACAGAGAAGCAGCUUCUUUCAGAUGUGUUGUUUUGUUUAUGCAGCUACACAUAAAGGGACAGUUCACUGUUAAAAUCAAGAAGGUAGAGCUUGCAAUUCCCACACUCCCACCUCUGAAGAACUCUUGACUUCAACAGACCUAAAAAGUGUUUCCCUUCUCCUCUAGCUGCCAUUUGCAGACACCACUGACAUGUCUGUCCUGUAGUUAACAUCCUGAGCCACCACCCCAGCAGUGGCCUGAGGUAGGUGCUUAAAUAAUUCUGUCUCCAUCUUGUGAGCACACUACUCUCUUUGCUUUACUUACAACACUAGAAACAGCAUGCUCCUCUGCCUUGCUACCUGCAAUAGUCAGCCAGACAGGGGCCAGCAGAGACUGGGACUUGCCCUUUGGUGGGAGCAGUGAGCUGGGUCUGACCUGGAACAGGUCACCUCAUCACAGCUGGAUAGGGCAAUUUGCUAAACUGCUCCAACUGAAAAGUAACUUUCUUAUUUCCCCAGCAAGAUUAGAUUCCAGCAACAAUUCAGCACAAGGCACCUCCUCUAAUGAACUUGUCUUACCUCUCUUUCUACAGACUUUUUCUAACCUCCAGUCCCUAUGCUCCUUCAAGCACAGAAGAUGCCAGGUAUACAGAGGUAAGGGGAGAAUUU
rnacentral:lncRNA from 1 species